AGGGUUCGAUUCUGGCUCAGGAUGAACGCUAGCUACAGGCUUAACACAUGCAAGUCGAGGGGCAGCAUGAUCAAAGCUUGCUUGAUUGAUGGCGACCGGCGCACGGAUGAGUAACGCGUAUCCAACCUUCCCUAUAGUAGUGGAUAGCCCGGCGAAAGUCGGAUUAAUACACUAUGUUGUAUUUAGAGGACAUCUGAAGAAUACCAAAGGUUUACCGCUAUAGGAUGGGGAUGCGUCUGAUUAGAUAGUAGGCGGGGUAACGGCCCACCUAGUCGACGAUCAGUAGGGGUUCUGAGAGGAAGGUCCCCCACAUUGGAACUGAGACACGGUCCAAACUCCUACGGGAGGCAGCAGUGAGGAAUAUUGGUCAAUGGACGGGAGUCUGAACCAGCCAAGUAGCCGUGCAGGAUGACGGCCCUAUGGGUUGUAAACUGCUUUUAUACGGGGAUAAAGUGAGCCACGUGUGGCUUUUUGUAGGUACCGUAUGAAUAAGGACCGGCUAAUUCCGUGCCAGCCGCAGC
rnacentral:rRNA from 1 species